GACUAUUCAUAAUUAUCUUAUGGUGGUUCGGGAUUGGCCUGUAGACCUUUUCUUUGACGAACUUACUUUUGAAACUUCUCCUUUUGGAUCCAUGUCAUUGGGUUUCCUCCAAAUGCCUGAUCCCUUCAAAACGCAUGAUCCAUUGGUAAUUUCAUGAGGGUUUUCUAAAUUUAGGAGGAGCUUCAGAUACGGUAGGACCAUCUGAUAUCCUAUGCAUGCAAGUUAACAUUCCACUUAAUAAACCGUUUGUUACUGGUUUUCAUCGUAAGAAACAAGAUGGAUCAAUCUAUUAGGUUACUAUCAAAUAUGAAUGUCUGCC
rnacentral:lncRNA from 1 species